GACGAACGCUGGCGGCGUGCUUAACACAUGCAAGUUGAACGGAAAGGCCCUGCUUGCAGGGUACUCGAGUGGCGAACGGGUGAGUAACACGUGGGUGACCUGCCCUGCACUUCGGGAUAAGCUUGGGAAACUGGGUCUAAUACCGGAUAGGACCGCACUUUAGUGUGUGUGGUGGAAAGUUUUUUCGGUGUAGGAUGAGCUCGCGGCCUAUCAGCUUGUUGGUGGGGUAAUGGCCUACCAAGGCGGCGACGGGUAGCCGGCCUGAGAGGGUGUACGGCCACAUUGGGACUGAGAUACGGCCCAGACUCCUACGGGAGGCAGCAGUGGGGAAUAUUGCACAAUGGGCGCAAGCCUGAUGCAGCGACGCCGCGUGGGGGAUGAAGGCCUUCGGGUUGUAAACUCCUUUCGCUAGGGACGAAGCUUUUUGUGACGGUACCUAGAUAAGAAGCACCGGCUAACUACGUG
rnacentral:rRNA from 1 species